ACGCUCGACACCUACUGGAGGCAGCAGUGAGGAAUAUUGGUCAAUGGACGCAAGUCUGAACCAGCCAUGCCGCGUGCAGGAUGACGGCUCUAUGAGUUGUAAACUGCUUUUGUACGAGGGUAAACGCAGAUACGUGUAUCUGUCUGAAAGUAUCGUACGAAUAAGGAUCGGCUAACUCCGUGCCAGCAGCCGCGGUAAUCUGAGCGGCUGGCAAGGC
rnacentral:rRNA from 1 species